rnacentral:sRNA from 1 species
CGAUGUUUUAGCACGGGGCACGGCCUCGC